ACAAUCCCAUCACAAACCAGACCACACAUCUGGACAUCACUCAACUCUGUCAACCAUGUCCAGACUCUGAACACUGUUGUGGUUCUACUAAAGCUGUGUUCCGAUUGGUCGUAACUGCUCUGGUGGGCGUGGCUGCUGUGGCUGCUGUUGUUCUUCUGGCUUAUGACAUCAGAUCUGGAAGAGCUGAACAAGAUCGAGCACGUUUUCACAAAUAAGAAACCUAGAUCAUGAUGUAAUUUGUAAUAUUACCAUUUUAAUCAUUUAUUAAUCUUAAAUGACUUUUUAUAUUAAUCUGCUGGUAUUGAUUGACAGCUCAUUUCCCCAUUAGAAGAUGAUUUGAGAACAAACAGCAACACAUUCUCACAUUAAUGCUCAAAAUAUUGAAAAAUACUGAAAAUUACCAAGAUUGCUUUGCUCACACUUAAUAUAACAUGCUUUUUUAUAUGUACAAUUGAAUCUCUCAUAUUUGAUAAGACAGUGAUGCUCCUCUACUGGCUGAACACAUGAAAGCAGAUGAAAACCUAUCUCUCUUUGCCAUUUGCAGGGUGAGACAUAUUUUUUUUAAUCCACUUCGAACAGUUUUAUUGAUUAUAGCCUCUUUCUCUAAGAUCUCACUUUACUAUACUAUUAACCGUUUUCCAUAUGUAUAUCAAUAAAAUCCAUUAUCAUUCAGACCUUAAAGCCUCAUUGAUUUAUUACAUUUGGAAUACUAACUUUAUUUAUAAAAGAUUUUUGAAAAACACCCAAACAAACCUUUGUUGAAUUGGCAUGAGAAAAGUGUCGGGUCUCGGGGCUAAUCACCUGCAUUUUGGGAUUGUGAAUAUGUGUCUGUCUGUUUGAUUUGAGUUUCCCCCUGCCCUCCUUGUUUCUCCGUUGUUACCUUAAUUGUUUGCCACCUGAUCUCCAUUUCUUCUCAUUCCUUCCCUUUAUAAUUCCCUGUGUUUCUCUGUCCAUUGUCAGACUGUUGUUACUCGUACCAAUAGCUCUGAUCUAUUAUCUGGUCUGUGUACUCACCUUGUCGUGUCGUGUCUUCAGGCUUCAGUGUCCUGUUUUCUCACGAACGCAGUGCUCCUAGAAGCUUCCAGCUCUCAUUCCUCUGGUCUCUGCUGUUGAAUGAGCUAAACUGGUGAACGUUACUCAUCUGCUCUGUCUCAUCUGCUUCAACCUCUCAUUCUCUCACUCGGGUGCCAGCAUUCCUAGACCCUAUGAGCUAAACUGAGGAACGUUACUCAUCUGCAGAAGAAGGACGGCUCCCUGCACCCCUGCAUUGAUUACAGAGGUUUGAAUGACAUUACAAUAAAGAACAGGUACCCUCUACCUUUAAUGUCUUCUGCUUUUGAAUUGUUGCAGGGAGCUCGGGUCUUCAACAAGUAAGACGUGCACAAUGCCUAUCACUUGGUGCGCAUUUGGGAUGGGGGUUGAGUGGAAGACGUGUUUAACACCCCUUUGGGACACUACGAGUACUUGGUUCUUCCGUUUGGUCUUACCAAUGCUCCAGCCGUUUUCCAGGGACUCGUCAACAGCGUGUUGGGUGACAUAAUUAAUCAAUUUGUCUUUGUGUAUUUGGAUGAUAUCUUGAUUUUCUCCCCCUCUCUCCAAUUACACACCCAGCAUGCCAGACGGGUUCUCCAGCGGUUGCUAGAAAACAAGUUGUCAAGGCAGAAAAUUGUGAAUUCCACGCUGAGUCUGUUACAUUCCUUGGCCACAUUAUUUUUACGGGAGGGAUCAAGCCUCAUCCCGCUAAGAUAGAAGCUGUCGCCCAGUGACCAGUCCCUGAUUCCCGUAAGGCUCUGCAGCGUUUCCUGGGUUUUGCCAACUUCUACCGGCAAUAAAUCAGGAAUUUUGGUCAGAUUGCUGCACUGCUCACAGCCUUAACCUCCAUUAAGGUGUCCUUCAGAUGGAACCGGGAGGAGCAGGUAGCCUUUGACAUUUUAAAGUUCCGUUUUGUCUCUGCACCUGUUCUGUUGGUACCAGAUCCUGAGGCCCAGUUCAUUGUCGAGGUUGAUGCUUCGGACGUUGGGGUUGGCGCAGUUCUAUAUCAGUGUUCCCUCUGUGACGGGAAGGUCCACCUGUGUGCGUUCUUCUCUCGUCGUCUCAGCCCUGCAGAACGUAAAUACGACUUUGGCAAUAGAGAGCUAAUGGCGGCACGAUUGGCCUUGGAUGAGUGGCGUCACUGGUUGGAGGGGUCGGUGCAGCCCCUCUUGGUCUGGACAGAUCACAAGAACCUGGAAUACAUCCGUUCAGCCAAGAGGCUGAGCGCUCUUCUUUGCCAGAUUCAACUUUACCCUCUUGUACCUGCCGGGAUCUAAGAACACCAAAUACGAUGCCCUCUCUCGCCUGUUCGAGGCCCGAGGAAGGGAGUUUGUGGCCGAGGCUCUUUCGUGGGGUAUCGAGCAACAGGUAGAGGAGGCCGGUCGAGGGGUGCAGGUGCUUGGAGAGUGCCCGGCGGGCAGGUUACUGGUGCCAGCUGCGCUGUGCUCUGAGGUCCAUGAGUGGGGUCACGCAUCCAGGUUAGUCUGCCAUCCAAGUAUUCAGAGAAUGUUGUCUGCCAUCCGACAACGCUUCUGGUGGCCUGCUAUGGCUGCAGAUGUUAGACCGUUUGUGUUGGCCUGCCCCACAUGUGCCCAAUGUAAGCCUGUCAAUCGCCCUCCUGAUGGUCUACUUAAUCCUCUCCCUAUCCCUUCCUGCCCUUGGUCACACAUCGCCCUUGAUUUUUUCCUCUGGGCUUCCACUGUCGAAGGGUAACACUGUGAUUCUCACGGUGGUGGAUCGCUUUUCCAAAGCAGUUAAUUUCAUCCCCCUGCCCAAGCUGCCCUCCACCUGGGAGACCGCCCAACUGGUAGUGGAUCACGUCUUCCAUCUCCAUGGGUUGCCGGUGGAUGUGGUUUCAGAUAGGGGUCCCCAGUUUGUCUCACGGUACUGGAGGGAAUUUUGUAGACAGAUUGGGGCCUCUGCGAGUCUGUCUUCAGGUUUUCAUCCCCAGACCAAUGGAAAGUGUGAGCGGGCCAACUAGGAUCUAGGAAGAAUGCUCUGCUGUCUAACAUCCAACAAUCUGAGUUCCUGGUGCCAGCAGCUCUCCUGGGCAGAAUACGUUCAUAACACCCUUCCUGUGGCCACGUCAGAUAUAUCUCCUUUUGAGUGUGCCGUCGGUUAUAACCCACCUCUGUUCCUGUCACAAGAACCAGACACAGUGGUUCCAUCCGCCCUGGCUUUCGUCCAGCGCUGCCGUCGCAUUUGGGAGAAAGUCAGGAGGAUUUCGGUCCAAACCUCUGACUGAACCAAGACUGCAGCCGAUCGUCGGCGGUCCUCUCCUCCUGCCUAUGUGUGUGGUCAGCAGGUUUGGCUUUCUUCCAAGGAUCUGCCUCUCUGGGGGCCUUCUCGUAAGCUGGCACCCAGAUUCAUUGGGCCAUUCGGCAUCACCAAGGUGGUUAGUCUGGCUCAAGCUUCCUCCUACUCUUGGUCAGGUUCAUCCAGUGUUUCAUUUUUCUAGGGUCAAGCUGGUGUUCUCUUCCCCCCUUAAUCCUGUUUGUAGUUGCCCCACCGCCCACCCCCUCAUCUUGUGGAUGGAUCUCCUACCUAAACGGUUAAAAGAUUACUCGAUGAGCGGCGCCGCGGCAAGGGGUUUCACUAUCUUGUGGACUGGGAGGGUUAUGGUUCAGAGGAGAGGGGCUGGAUGCCAUCCCGGGACAUUCUGGACUGCUCGUUCAUUGAGGACUUCCAUCGGCAUCGAGGCUCCAGUGCUCCUAGAAUCUUCCAGCUCUCAUUCCUCUGGUCUCGGCUGUCGAACGAGCUAAACUGAUGAACGUUACUCAUCUGCUCUGUCUCAUCUGCUUCGACCUCUCAUUCUCUUACUCGGGUGCUGGCAUUCCUUGACCCUACAAGCUAAACUGUGGAACGUUACUCAUCUGCUCUGUCUCAUCUGCUUAAAUAAAGCACAUUGUAAAUCCGCAACUGAAUCCAGCCUGAUUCUCCUGACAAAAAGAGAACCCUGUUUGAAAAGUAUAGUGCAGUGGUUCCCAACCUUUUUCAGCUCGCGGCCCACACAACAACAACACAUAUGUUUGCGCGGCCCACUUCAAAAAAAUUAACUGUU